rnacentral:rRNA from 1 species
UACGUAGGGUGCGAGCGUUAAUCGGAAUUACUGGGCGUAAAGCGUGCGCAGGCGGUUUUGUAAGUCAGAUGUGAAAUCCCCGGGCUUAACCUGGGAACUGCGUUUGAAACUACAAGGCUAGAGUGUGGCAGAGGGGGGUGGAAUUCCACGUGUAGCAGUGAAAUGCGUAGAGAUGUGGAGGAACACCGAUGGCGAAGGCAGCCCCCUGGGUUAACACUGACGCUCAGGCACGAAAGCGUGGGGAGC